UACGGAGGGUGCAAGCGUUAUCCGGAUUCACUGGGUUUAAAGGGUGCGUAGGUGGGCAGGUAAGUCAGUGGUGAAAUCUCCGGGCUUAACUCGGAAACUGCCAUUGAUACUAUCUGUCUUGAAUACCGUGGAGGUUAGCGGAAUAUGUCAUGUAGCGGUGAAAUGCUUAGAUAUGACAUAGAACACCAAUUGCGAAGGCAGCUGGCUACACGAAAUAUUGACACUGAUGCACGAAAGCGUGGGGAUCAAACAGG
rnacentral:rRNA from 1 species